rnacentral:rRNA from 1 species
AUUGAACGCUGGCGGCAGGCCUAACACAUGCAAGUCGAAUGGUAACAGGAAACAGCUUGCUGUUUCGCUGACGAGUGGCGGACGGGUGAGUAAUGUCUGGGAAGCUGCCUGAUGGAGGGGGAUAACUACUGGAAACGGUAGCUAAUACCGCAUAACGUCGCAAGACCAAAGAGGGGGACCUUCGGGCCUCUUGCCAUCAGAUGUGCCCAGAUGGGAUUAGCUAGUAGGUGGGGUAACGGCUCACCUAGGCGACGAUCCCUAGCUGGUCUGAGAGGAUGACCAGCCACACUGGAACUGAGACACGGUCCAGACUCCUACGGGAGGCAGCAGUGGGGAAUAUUGCACAGUGGGCGCAAGCCUGAUGCAGCCAUGCCGCGUGUAUGAAGAAGGCCUUCGGGUUGUAAAGUACUUUCAGCGGGGAGGAAGGGAGUAAAGUUAAUACCUUUGCUCAUUGACGUUACCCGCAGAAGAAGCACCGGCUAACUCCGUG